UUCUCUGGUUUGAUGGACAGUCAGGCCUUGAGCUUUCAUUUCUUCUGGGCAUGUCUGUGAUAGCCAGAGCAUCUUCUGAUGGACUAGGUUUAAAUCCUUGAAUCCUGUUAGAUCGUACUGUUGAGAAUAUUUUCUAAGAAGUCCCAAGAUGGCUAAUUUACAACAUCAAGAACGGCCAAUGUAGAACUAAGGCACCCAGACGUUACAUUGAAUGGUAGCAAACAGCCUCUCCCUUUAUUUGAACAUCUGGUAGACCUCCAAACCUCACCUAAAUCCCUUUCACAGCUUUCUGUCAGAGUUGUAACCUUUUUACCCUUUAUUGACCUUCCCGACCUCCUGUUUAGGUCUAAAUGCUUCAUCUGCUGUGUACUACCCAAUCUGCUAUGAUGGCUGUUUUGACAAGACUGAAGCCAUGGAUCAUGCAUCGUGUAACAUGCUCACGUUGCUGUUAUUGCUUAUUUUUUUUAUAUAUUGAUCCGAUCAGCUCCCUCUGUCUGUGACUUUUGUUUUUAUGUGAGGAAAUAACUUCUAAAUAUGACCACUGGGAGACACACAAAUCCCACUUUAAGAAAAAAAGAUAAAUGUUCUGCUGCUUCAUCCCAAGCUCGAAGCUCCUCCUUUUCAUUUACCAAAGGCGUUCCGCAAAUGAUGGAUAAAAUCAAACGAGAGGCUGCAUUGACGCUAACCGCUUACGCAAAACGUGCUGUGGAGAAGGGAGCUGUCUGCUGUAAAAACAGCCUGCACAAGGACAAGUGAGGAUGGAGAGGAGUGUUUGACAAGCAGAGUGCCUUACACGCGCUUCAGAGAGAGUGUGUGUGCUUCUGAGUGGGAUAAAUCACUGGAAGGAAUUCUACCAGCCCCACGAAACUAUCUGCUUAAAAGGACAAAGGUGAACUAUCAAGCUGCUUUUUGUGAUAAUCAAUGGAUCAGUAUUUUUUGUAGGGUUCAGCACUGGAGUAGAUUGUUUUCUGCAGACCAGGAAUCUGGGUGUGGACCAACAAGUUUGGGGAUAAAAGGGAAAAAACAUUAACAGGAGUGGUGAGAAAAAUUCCUUGGUGGACCAUUUUCCACAAUGUCUGGGAGCCAGGAGCCAUUCUGGGUCUCUGUCUUGUUUUCAUUACAACUUUAUUUAAACAUAAGCAGCUGCCUAUGCAUGUGAAUUUUUUAUCUGCGUCAAUUUCUUAAAUUCUUUCCAUAUUAAAACAUGUUCAUGUGCA